GAAAAAAAAAAAAAGCUGCUGUCAAAGAAUUUAUUCCUAAUCAGAAUUGCUGUUCUAUAACCAAAUGAAGCUGCCUCAGUUGAACCUUAGGAAGUAAUCCUGUGACCAAAGAGAACAAUGAUAACAAACAAAAACUAAAAUAAAGACAAAAGCACAUAUUCUUUCUUCUUUCCCUUUGUUUGCAUUUAGGAAUCUCUGCCCACUUUCUUACUAGUUACUGGUUAUGGACAAGAUCUGUUGGUCCACAACAGCAUGCUAAAGAUGAGCAAGCCAGACAAAGGGAAACAGGUUUGCUGUCACCCGUACAGCAGCAAGUGGGAAGCUUCCAGAAUCCAAGCUGCCUGAGAAGGUACCAUCUUAAAAGUCGACAAUCAGAGUGUCAAAAGGAAAAAUAUUACCACCAAUUAAAUGCUCCAGCACCGCAUAAAAUAGAUUCCUUCAACUUCCAAAUUAUUGGCAAGAUACACAUGCUACUAUGUGCUUGAUGGGUGAAAUUAGAAAUUCUUGGUGAGUGAGUAGACUGAUUCUCACAGUUCAUUCUUUUGGCCCCUAAAUAUUUGACUUACUC
rnacentral:lncRNA from 1 species